ensembl:lncRNA novel transcript, antisense to BCAT2
AGCGCCUCCCACCCCAGAGACCUUUGGUCGCAGCCUGGAGAUCAGCUCAGACAAGAAAACAACCAGGGAAGGCACACAGCCCUGUGGGGAGGCGUUGGGGCGUGAGGUUGAGAGAGACAGAGUGGCCUGGCCUGGCCUGCCCUGUGAGCUGGGUGAGUUGGCACUGAUUCUGGAAGAUGGACGUGAAUGGGCGUGGUCACUUGUCGCUAGACUCUGGGAAACGCUGCUGCUGUUUGACAUCGCACAGUCAGAAGGGAUCGUCUCAGCCAGCCUGCAGCAUCUGUCACUUUGACCAUGAGACGCUGCCUCGAUUUCCAAUCCAGGUGCAAAGCUUCAGAUAGGAGUUUGGGAAGCACAGCAAUCCCCAUCUCUUAUUUUUUUCAACUUUCAUUCCAAGAAAAUAGGACCUUGAGUCCAAUUCCCAGAGCUGAGACUUGAGGUCCAACUCUGCCUUCACCUGCACCCGGCCCUGGAGGUCUGGGCCCCUUUAUUCCAGCUCCCGCACAGGCUGAUGCCCCACCGCACCCCAGGGCUCCGCUCCCCAAAUCACAACCUCCCCACCCCCACGCCUCCCUCAUUACAGGGUCCUCCACCAUGUUUCCCUUUUUUUUUUUUUUUUUACCUCCCCGCCAAUUACUUGCCCCACCUCAUCCGCGUCUACCUGCUCCCCCUCACCCCAUUAAAGCCUCGUGCUCCUUUCCAAA